rnacentral:rRNA from 1 species
GACAGGUGCUGCAUGGCUGUCGUCAGCUCGUGUCGUGAGAUGUUGGGUUAAGUCCCGCAACGAGCGCAACCCUUGCCUUUAGUUGCCAGCAGUUCGGCUGGGCACUCUAAAGGGACUGCCGGUGUUAAACCGGAGGAAGGUGGGGAUGACGUCAAGUCCUCAUGGCCUUUAUGACCAGGGCUACACACGUACUACAAUGGCCGAUACAAAGGGCAGCGACACUGCGAGGUGAAGCCAAUCCCGUAAAAUCGGUCUCAGUCCGGAUUGGAGUCUGCAACUCGACUCCAUGAAGUUGGAAUCGCUAGUAAUCGUGGAUCAGCAUGCCACGGUGAAUACGUUCCCGGGCCUU